GGAAUAUCUUUAGGACUUCUAAUCCUUCACAAGUGAUCUUUCAUUAUAUUCCU
rnacentral:tRNA from 1 species